AGUGAACGCUGGCGGUAGGCCUAACACAUGCAAGUCGAACGGCAGCACAGGAGAGCUUGCUCUCUGGGUGGCGAGUGGCGGACGGGUGAGGAAUACAUCGGAAUCUACUCUGUCGUGGGGGACAACGUAGGGAAACUUACGCUAAUACCGCAUACGACCUACGUGUGAAAGCAGGGGAUCUUCGGACCUUCCGCGAUGGCAUGAGCCGAUGUCGGAUUAGCUAGUUGGCGGGGUAAAGGCCCACCAAGGCGACGAUCCGUAGCUGGUCCGAGAGGAUGAUCAGCCACACUGGAACUGAGACACGGUCCAGACUCCUACGGGAGGCAGCAGUGGGGAAUAUUGGACAAUGGGCGCAAGCCUGAUCCAGCCAUACCGCGUGGGUGAAGAAGGCCUUCGGGUUGUAAAGCCCUUUUGUUGGGAAAGAAAUCCAGCUGGCUAAUACCCGGUUGGGAUGACGGUACCCAAAGAAUAAGCACCGGCUAACUUCGUGCCAGCCGCCGCGGUAA
rnacentral:rRNA from 1 species